GACGAACGCUGGCGGCGUGCCUAAUACAUGCAAGUUGAGCGCUGAAGGUUGGUACUUGUACCAACUGGAUUAGCAGCGGACGGGUGAGUAACGCGUGGGGAAUCUGCCUUUGAGCGGGGGACAACAUUUGGAAACGAAUGCUAAUACCGCAUAAAAACUUUAAACACAAGUUUUAAGUUUGAAAGAUGCAAUUGCAUCACUCAAAGAUGAGCCCGCGUUUUAUUUGCUAGGUGGGGAGGGAAAGGCUCACCCAGGCGAGGAUACAUAGCCGAACUGAGAGGGUGAUCUGCCACAUUGGGACUGGGACACGGCCCAAACUCCUAAGGGAGGCAGCAGUAGGGAAUCUUCGGCAAUGGACGAAAGUCUGACCGAGCAAAGCCGCGUGAGUGAAGAAGGUUUUCGGAUCGUAAAACUCUGUUGGUUGGGAAGAAAGUUGGUGAGAGUGGAAAGCUCAUAAAGUGACGGUACCUAACCAGAAAGGGACGGCUAACUACGUG
rnacentral:rRNA from 1 species